rnacentral:tRNA from 2 species
AACGAUGUAGUUUAAUAAGAAUUUUGGGUUUGCGUCUCAAAGGUGGAAGGUUUUCUCUUCGUUA